AAUGAACGCUGGCGGCGUGCCUAAUACAUGCAAGUCGAGCGAACAGAUAAGGAGCUUGCUCCUUUGACGUUAGCGGCGGACGGGUGAGUAACACGUGGGUAACCUACCUAUAAGACUGGGAUAACUUCGGGAAACCGGAGCUAAUACCGGAUAACAUUUGGAACCGCAUGGUUCUAAAGUGAAAGAUGGUUUUGCUAUCACUUAUAGAUGGACCCGCGCCGUAUUAGCUAGUUGGUAAGGUAACGGCUUACCAAGGCAACGAUACGUAGCCGACCUGAGAGGGUGAUCGGCCACACUGGAACUGAGACACGGUCCAGACUCCUACGGGAGGCAGCAGUAGGGAAUCUUCCGCAAUGGGCGAAAGCCUGACGGAGCAACGCCGCGUGAGUGAUGAAGGGUUUCGGCUCGUAAAACUCUGUUAUUAGGGAAGAACAAACGUGUAAGUAACUGUGCACGUCUUGACGGUACCUAAUCAGAAAGCCACGGCUAACUACGUG
rnacentral:rRNA from 1 species